GACGAACGCUGGCGGCGCGCUUAACACAUGCAAGUCGAACGGAAAGGCCUGCUUUCCCUUGUGGAUUGCGGGUACUCGAGUGGCGAACGGGUGAGUAACACGUGAGUGAUCUGCCCCCAACUUGGGUAUAAGCCUGGGAAACUGGGUCUAAUUCCCGAUAGGACUGCAGGGUGGUGCCUGUGGUGGAAAACGAUUUUCUAGUGGUUGGGGAUGAGCUCGCGGCCUAUCAGCUUGUUGGUGGGGUAAUGGCCUACCAAGGCGGCGACGGGUAGCCGGCCUGGGAGGGUGGACGGCCACAUUGGACCUGAGAUACGGCCCAGAAGCCUACGGGAGGCAGCAGUGGGGAAUAUUGCACAAUGGGCGGAAGCCUGAUGCAGCGACGCCGCGUGGGGGAUGACGGCCUUCGGGUUGUAAACUCCUUCCGACCGCGAGGAAGCCACCUGGUUGGAAGGGUGGUGACGGUAGUGGUAGAAGAAGCACCGGCUAACUACGUG
rnacentral:rRNA from 1 species